AUUGAACGCUGGCGGCAGGCCUAACACAUGCAAGUCGAACGAGUGGCGGACGGGUGAGUAAUGUCUGGGUAACUGCCUGAUGGAGGGGGAUAACUACUGGAAACGGUAGCUAAUACCGCAUACCAUCGGAUGUGCCCAGUGGGGAUUAGCUAGGAGGUGGGGUAACGGCUCACCUAGGCGACGGUCCCUAGCUGGUCUGAGCGGAGGACCAGCGACACUUGAACUGAGACACGGACCAGACUCCUACGGGAGGCAGCAAUGGGGAAUAUUGCACAAGGGGCGCAAGCCUGAUGCAGCCAUGCCGCGUGGAUGAAGAAGGCCUUCGGGUUGUAAAGUACUUUCAGCGGGGAGGCGUUACCCGCAGAAGAAGCACCGGCUAACUCCGGGCCAGCAGCCGCGGUAAUUC
rnacentral:rRNA from 1 species